CAUUUUCUCCCGAACGAACCUCCGUUUCGGGAAUGGAGAAAUGCAUUUUUAGAUGGACCACUGGACGAGAGGACCACUAUUUUUGGAUGAAAAGGGCACCACAAAUCUAGAAGUUGUGGUAUCCCAGGAGGUCUGGUAAUAGAGGGGAGGUACGUGAGGCGACGUUGGCUCCCUCUGCUGGGAAUACGUGAGCUGGGAACCCCGACAUGGACAGCUCUAAGUGGGAGGUAAUUAGAGGAAUGUGCCAACCAACCGUGGAGGCCAAAAGAAAAUGGAGCACAGGGGCACACCACGAGAGAGAAUGGGGAGAGACCGACACCAAGCCACAGUAGAGAAGAAGAACCUAAGUGAUUUUCUUUGUUCUUUUCCAUUUCUGUCUUAGUAAAGUUGUUUUUGCGGACUAAAGCCU